CUACGUGCCAGCAGCCGCGGUAAUACGUAGGAUGCAAGCGUUAUCCGGAAUUAUUGGGUUUAAAGCGCGCGCAGGCGGCUUCCCAAGUCACCCUUAAAAGUGCGGGGCUUAACCCCGUGAUGCCAAGGAUACUGGGAAGCUGGAGUAUCGGAGAGGAAGGCGGAAUGCGUAGUGUAGCGGUGGAAUGCAUAGAGAUUAGGCAGAACUCCGGUGGCGAAGGCAGCUUUCUGGACGAAAACUGACGCUGAGGCGCGAAAGCGUGGGGAGCAAACAGGAUUAGAUACCCUGGUAGUCCACGCAGUAAACGAUGAGAACUGGGUGUAUGCCCUUUCCGGGGCUUAGUGCCGAAGCGAAAGCGUUAAGCUAUCCACCUGGGGAGUACGCCGGCAAGGUUGAAACUCAAAGGAAUUGACGGGGGCCCGCACAAGCGGAGGAACAUGUGGUUUAAUUCGAAGCAACGCGAAGAACCUUACCCGGGCUUAACAUCCCUCUGACCGCUCUAGAGAUAGAGUUUUC
rnacentral:rRNA from 1 species